AAACUACUCCCUUCGUCCCAAAAUUCUUGUCUUAAAUUUGUCUAGAUACAGAUGUAUUUAACACUAAAAUGUAACUAGAUACAUCCAUAUUUAGAAAAACCUAAGACAAGAAUUUUGGGACGGAGGGAGUAGUAC
rnacentral:pre_miRNA from 1 species